AUUGAACGCUGGCGGAAUGCUUUACACAUGCAAGUCGAACGGCAGCACGGGGGCAACCCUGGUGGCGAGUUGCGAACGGGUGAGUAAUACAUCGGAACGUGCCCGGUCGUGGGGGAUAACGUAGCGAAAGGUACGCUAAUACCGCAUACGAUCUGAGGAUGAAAGCGGGGGACCUUCGGGCCUCGCGCGUUCGGAUCUGCCGUUGUCAGAUUAGGUAGUUGGUGGGGUAAAGGCCUACCAAGCCGACGAUCUGUAGCUGGUCUGAGAGGACGACCAGCCACACUGGGACUGAGACACGGCCCAGACUCCUACGGGAGGCAGCAGUGGGGAAUCUUGGACAAUGGGCGAAAGCCUGAUCCAGCCAUGCCGCGUGCAGGACGAAGGCCUUCGGGUUGUAAAAUGCUUUUGUAUGGAACGAAAAGGCUCUGGCUAAUACCUGGGGCUCAUGACGGUACCGUAAGAAUAAGCACCGGCUAACUACGUG
rnacentral:rRNA from 1 species